CUCCGCUAAACUGUCAUCUCAAACAAAAACAAAUGGAUCAUACAACUGCUAUGAAUACAUUCGACUCGUUUGCUUCCAUCAAUCGGUAAGUGAGAAAGAUGAUUUCUCCCAUCAGUGCGGAUUUCCACUUCUAUCACAGCAGCCAACAACAUCCGUUUUCCUGCAGCAGUAACCUUCAACCCCUGUUGGCAAUGCCGGGGGACAGCAUCAACAGCAGCAGCAGCAGAAUUUGACCAUGGUAUGGUAUUGCGAAGAACUUUCCCCAUUAGAGGUUCCGUGCUUCGCGCACAUUCAAAAUCCUCUUCAGACACGAAAACUCAACGACAAGGAGGUAUUUAUCAACUUGCUCAGCUGAAUUACCACCCGGAGGAACCCGAAUGCACUGAUUCCGUUGUAUAGUAGAAUGAAAAUAUGCGAGGUAAGCGAACGUAAUCGCAUGAUAUUUUAAUAGUUCGCAUUUUUAUCCGGAACAUACAACUGCUAUGAAUACAUCCGACUCAAUCAAUCGGCGAGUGAGAAAGAUGAUUUCCCUCAUCACCACAUUGCUUAUUUCCACUUCUGUCACGCCAGCCAACAGCAUCAGCUUUCCCGCAGCAGUAUCCUUUAAGUCCAGGGUGCUAUUCCGGGGAACAGCAUCAUCAGUAACAGCAGCAGGACCUGGCCAUCGAUAGUAUUUCGAGCAAUUUUCCCCAUCGGAGAUCCCGUGCUUCACGCACAUUGAAGAAACCUCCUCAGCCACAUAUGUGUGUCAAGGAGAAAAAGGAGCUGGAUUCGAAUCGUCAAUCCAGACAACCCGAAUGCACCGAUUGCA